rnacentral:tRNA from 1 species
GGGCGCAUAGCUCAGCGGGAGAGCACUCGCCUUACAAGCGAGCGGUCGCAGGUUCAAAUCCUGCUGCGCCCACCA